ensembl:processed_transcript
CAGCACAACACUGAGAUGAAGGCGAAGUCACCAUGAAAAGUUAAACCUUUACCGUUAAGGUAAGCUCUGGUCUUCACAUAAUCAUUUUGACUAAGCUAUCAUUAUGGUAACAUUUUUCAACUGUAAGUUAGUUAUUUAAGUUAAACUAAACUCAUAAUGAAAUGAGUCUUAACUGUUUUAUUAAAUGGAGCUGAAAAUUAAAUGCAGUUGAAUUAUUUUAAGCUAAGGUUAAUAUUAACAAAAUACAUAUUUAUUGUCUAUUUAUCAAUAAUGUUAAUGAGCUUGAUUUAUAUUGUGUCAUUUAUUGUACAUUUAAUUUUUGCUGUUCAGGUGUACCUGAGGUGAGUGUACGUUCUGAGUACACAGAUAUAAGCCAAAGUCAUUAUCACUAUAUAUAUAUAUAUAUAUAUAUAUAUAUAUAUAUAUCCUAUUCUAAGAGAAAUUGAUGGGGUCAGUGAAUGAUUUGUGUACAAAUGUAUUUUAACCCCAUACAGAUUGGUAUGGUUGUACCAUAGAUUUAGAUUAAUUAAUGUUAAGUCUUAUUUUACUCUUAUUAUAUUUAUCUGUUUUUCAGCUACAGUAAUUGAUGUUGAAAAACUGAUGCUACCAAUCACUCCUCACUUGAUUAUUCAAGCCCAAAUUGUGAUGGACCUGGAAUGCGACACCAGUUACUCUUAAGACAAGAACCGAAUAAAGCACAGUGGAGGGAUUUGCAGCCAAACUAACUGGAGGGAAGGAACCUUUAGUGUGGGUGAACAUACUACCUGGAUGUCCAACAAAGGCUGCACAAGAGCUCAUUUGAUUGCACAUAUUCUGUCCUGUCUACAUCUCGGAUGACCUGGAAGUGCUUCGACAUCAGAUCAUCAUCAUGCUGCUGCCCUUUUUCACUGUCCCUUUCCACAUCAUUUGGCCUUCAUCAUUUCCUGUCUUGUAGCAGUAUUUUCACCUGUUUUUAAAAUUGUAAUAAUUUUUGAUGCAUUAAUUGUUGACUGGUUUUAAUGAUCAAUUGUUUAUUAGUGUUCUGUUGCUCUGUUAUAUUGAAUUACUGCUACUGUUUUAGCAUGGUUUACACAAUAAACCUUUAUUGUGAAGUUAAA